ACCAGGCAUGGUGGUGCGUGCCUGUGGUCCUAGCUACUUGGGAGGCUGAGGCAGGAGAAUCACUUAAGCCCAGGAGUUCCAGGCCAUAGUGCCCUGUGCCAAUUGGAUGUCCACACCAAGUUCAGCAUCAAUAUGAUAACCUCCUGGCAGUGGGGGACCACUGGUUGCCUAAGGAGGGGUGAACUGGCCCAGGUCAGAAAUGGAGCAAGUCAAAACUCCCAUUCUGAUCAGUAGUAGGAUCACACCUCUGAAAAGCUACUGCACUCCAGUCUGGGCAAUAUAGUGAGACACUGUCUUGA
rfam:Nomascus leucogenys chromosome 7b, whole genome shotgun sequence.